rnacentral:rRNA from 1 species
UACGGAGGGUGCAAGCGUUAUCCGGAUUCACUGGGUUUAAAGGGUGCGUAGGUGGGCAGGUAAGUCAGUGGUGAAAUCUCCGGGCUUAACUCGGAAACUGCCAUUGAUACUAUCUGUCUUGAAUUCUGUUGAGGUGGGCGGAAUACAUCAUGUAGCGGUGAAAUGCUUAGAUAUGAUGUAGAACACCGAUUGCGAAGGCAGCUCACUAAGCAGCGAUUGACGCUGAGGCACGAAAGCGUGGGGAUCAAACAGG